AGUGAACGCUGGCGGUAGGCCUAACACAUGCAAGUCGAACGGCAGCACAGUAAGAGCUUGCUCUUACGGGUGGCGAGUGGCGGACGGGUGAGGAAUACAUCGGAAUCUACUUUUUCGUGGGGGAUAACGUAGGGAAACUUACGCUAAUACCGCAUACGACCUACGGGUGAAAGCAGGGGAUCUUCGGACUUUGCGCGAUUGAAUGAGCCGAUGGCGGAUUAGCUAGUUGGCGGGGUAAAGGCCCACCAAGGCGACGAUCCGUAGCUGGUCUGAGAGGAUGAUCAGCCACACUGGAACUGAGACACGGUCCAGACUCCUACGGGAGGCAGCAGUGGGGAAUAUUGGACAAUGGGCGAAAGCCUGAUCCAGCCAUACCGCGUGGGUGAAGAAGGCCUUCGGGUUGUAAAGCCCUGUUGUUGGGAAAGAAAAGCAGCAGGUUAAUACCCCGCUGUUCUGACGGUACCCAAAGAAUAAGCACCGGCUAACUUCGUG
rnacentral:rRNA from 1 species